GGAGUAUUUAUAUAAUAAAUAACGACCCAUCGGCUGAUGAAUCAUUGUCUUAAACUCACUCUGAGAUCUUCACUGUGGAUCUUUAUUUCUGUUCAGAUUCUGGAUAUUUCUACAUCUUCUUUCAUCACAGUCUCUGGUGAUCCAGACGGAGCAGUGAAGAGUCGUUCUGAUGAAUCAGAGAGGAUCAGAUCAGAGAAAACAUCAUACUUCACUUUCAUUUAGAAUUAUUAGAAGUAUUGUUACUGCAAAUCUAAUCACACUGAGGUUAUCUGAACUUACUGUACCUUGACUUUAAUUCAACUCUGUAUGAUUUAACAGAUAUAAAUUAGAAUAGAAAUGAAAUAAUGCACAGAGAAAACAGCUGGAGCGUCAGAAACUACAGACGAGUAAAAACCAACAGGACAGAGAGAAAAAUGAAGGACAGAAAUAAAACACAAACCACUGGAUCUCAAGAGAAAAGCAGACAGAGACUUGUUAGAUGGGACAGUAUGAAAAUGUUAAAACCAAACUUCUCAGAUGAUCCAGACGGGCCUGUGAGGAUUCUUUCAGAUGUUCUCAAGAACACAGACUAUUGAUCUGUGUCCCGGCUGGACUCUCAUUCCCAUCCAUCAGUGACUGAAUGAAAGGCUAAAGGAAAUGAAAGGACGUCACGUGUAACCUGAAGGAAACCCACAAAAACAGGAUGUCCAGGAACUUACAAACUCCCACAAAAGCCACGAGUAAACCAGCGGCCUGUUCUUUGUACCUCGCUAACUACGAUAGCUGAAUUUGAUUGCUGAUGAUUCGACAUGAUCUUGAAAUCAAUUGGUGGGUUCUUCGAAGCUCAUCCUGGAGUUGUUGUCAUAGCAACAGGUCCAUAAUCUUAAACUUGCUCGAGAGCAUCUUAUUUCAUGUGAACAGGAUUAGAUCGCAUCUUUUUUAACCAGAACUGAUCCUUAGAUUUUGCUACUUUAUUACAAGAUCCUACUGAUCUAGACAAUAAUUUAAAAUAAUAAUAAUUUGAAAAUAUAUUUAAAGGUAGUCCAUAAUAGCCUACUAUAGACACAGCCAAUUUUACUCACUGAAAUAUUUAUUCAUCAUAAAACAAUUGCUUCCCUAAUUGUAUUAGAGUCUUGCACACAGAUAAUGUAGAGUUGUGAAUUCAUUUGAAUGAUGAUGAUAUUAUGGGCGGGGCUUGAUGGAGCAGGAGAUGCAGAGAACAUGAUCUUGACCCUUAAGAAACUUUCAUUAAUGCUGUCACGUAACAAAUCUGUCCUAAUAUGUUCUCUUGGCUGUUUCCUUAUAAAAUUCCAGAAAGGUGUCAAGUUUUUAUGUCUGGCUCUUUUUAAAUAAUAUGAUGUCAUUAUGUUGCUGUCUUGCUGCCAGCCAAUCGCUGCGCUGCUGAUCGUGGUUUCGAGCAUCAGUAUCCAGCUCCUCAUUUCUGAGUAUCUGAGAGAGACGUACAUUUCUCAAAUGAAGAAUAAACAGACUGAAUAUUCCUCUUUAUGCAGUCAGAUAAAGUGUCUGGAUUGACCUUUGACCCCUGUAGCACCUCUACAGGCCAUCAUCAGAAUCACAGCAGAGUUACAGAUCUACAAAUAUAUAAGAAAGUAUUUUCCAGCAGCAGCAAUGAAAACACACACAGAUCUCCCUUCAGCAGCUGAUAUGAUGAUCUCUACUGAUUUAAUAAAGUCACAAGAGUUUG